GAUGAACGCUGGCGGCGUGCCUAAUACAUGCAAGUCGAGCGAACGGACGAGAAGCUUGCUUUUCUGAUGUUAGCGGCGGACGGGUGAGUAACACGUGGAUAACCUACCUAUAAGACUGGGAUAACUUCGGGAAACCGGAGCUAAUACCGGAUAAUAUUUUGAACCGCAUGGUUCAAAAGUGAAAGACGGUCUUGCUGUCACUUAUAGAUGGAUCCGCGCUGCAUUAGCUAGUUGGUAAGGUAACGGCUUACCAAGGCAACGAUGCAUAGCCGACCUGAGAGGGUGAUCGGCCACACUGGAACUGAGACACGGUCCAGCCUCCUACGGGAGGAAGCAGUAGGGAAUCUUCCGCAAUGGGCGAAAGCCUGACGGAGAAACGCCGCGUGAGUGAUGAAGGUCUUCGGAUCGUAAAACUCUGUUAUUAGGGAAGAACAUAUGUGUAAGUAACUGUGCACAUCUUGACGGUACCUAAUCAGAAAGCCACGGCUAACUACGUG
rnacentral:rRNA from 1 species